CUACGGGGGGCACCAGUGAGGAAUAUUGCACAAUGGGGGGAACCCUGAUGCAGCAACGCCGCGUGGAGGAUGACGCAUUUCGGUGUGUAAACUCCUUUUAUAUGUCAAGAAAAUGACGGUAGCAUAUGAAUAAGCACCGGCUAACCCCGUGCCAGCAGCCGCGGUAAUACGGAGGGUGCAAGCGUUACUCGGAAUCACUGGGCGUAAAGGACGCGUAGGCGGGUUGGAAAGUCAGGUGUGAAAUCCUACAGCUUAACUGUAGAACUGCACUUGAAACUUCUAAUCUAGAGUAUGGGAGGGGGAGAUGGAAUUAGUGGUGUAGGGGUAAAAGCCGUAGAUAUCACUAGGAAUACCUAAAGCGAAGGCGAUCUCCUGGAACAUUACUGACGCUAAGGCGUGAAAGCGUGGGGAGCAAACAGGAUUAGAUACCCUUGUAGUC
rnacentral:rRNA from 1 species